UACGUAGGUGGCGAGCGUUAUCCGGAAUUACUGGGCGUAAAGCGUACGCAGGCGGCUUGUUUAGUCUGACGUGAAAUCUCCCGGCUUAACUGGGAGGGGUCGUUGGAAACUGGCAAGCUUGAGGCAAUGAGAGGGGCAUGGAAUUCCCGGUGUAGUGGUGGAAUGCGUAGAUAUCGGGAGGAACACCAGAGGCGAAAGCGAUGCCCUGGCAUUGGCCUGACGCUCAUGUACGAAAGCGUGGGGAGCGAACGGG
rnacentral:rRNA from 1 species